rnacentral:rRNA from 1 species
AGUGGCGAACGGGUGAGUAACACGUGGGUGAUCUGCCCUGCACUUUGGGAUAAGCCUGGGAAACUGGGUCUAAUACCGAAUAGGAUCAUGCUCUUCAUGGGGUGUGGUGGAAAGCUUUUGCGGUGUGGGAUGGGCCCGCGGCCUAUCAGCUUGUUGGUGGGGUAAUGGCCUACCAAGGCGACGACGGGUAGCCGGCCUGAGAGGGUGACCGGCCACACUGGGACUGAGAUACGGCCCAGACUCCUACGGGAGGCAGCAGUGGGGAAUAUUGCACAAUGGGCGCAAGCCUGAUGCAGCGACGCCGCGUGAGGGAUGACGGCCUUCGGGUUGUAAACCUCUUUCACCAGGGACGAAGCGCAAGUGACGGUACCUGGAGAAGAAGCACCGGCCAACUACGUGCCAGCAGCCGCGGUAAUACGUAGGGUGCGAGCGUUGUCCGGAAUUACUGGGCGUAAAGAGCUCGUAGGUGGUUUGUCGCGUUGUUCGUGAAAACUCACAACUCAAUUGUGGGCGUGCGGGCGAUACGGGCAGACUAGAGUACUGCAGGGGAGACUGGAAUUCCUGGUGUAGCGGUGGAAUGCGCAGAUAUCAGGAGGAACACCCGUGGGCGAGGCGGGUCUCUGGGCAGUAACUGACGCUGAGGAGCGAAAGCGUGGGGAGCGAACAGGAUUAGAUACCCUGGUAGUCCACGCCGUAAACGGUGGGUACUAGGUGUGGGUUCCUUCCUUGGGAUCCGUGCCGUAGCUAACGCAUUAAGUACCCCGCCUGGGGAGUACGGCCGCAAGGCUAAAACUCAAAGGAAUUGACGGGGGCCCGCACAAGCGGCGGAGCAUGUGGAUUAAUUCGAUGCAACGCGAAGAACCUUACCUGGGUUUGACAUGCACAGGACGCCGGCAGAGAUGUCGGUUCCCUUGUGGCCUGUGUGCAGGUGGUGCAUGGCUGUCGUCAGCUCGUGUCGUGAGAUGUUGGGUUAAGUCCCGCAACGAGCGCAACCCUUGUCCUAUGUUGCCAGCGGGUUAUGCCGGGGACUCGUAGGAGACUGCCGGGGUCAACUCGGAGGAAGGUGGGGAUGACGUCAAGUCAUCAUGCCCCUUAUGUCCAGGGCUUCACACAUGCUACAAUGGCCGGUACAAAGGGCUGCGAUGCCGUGAGGUGGAGCGAAUCCUUUCAAAGCCGGUCUCAGUUCGGAUCGGGGUCUGCAACUCGACCCCGUGAAGUCGGAGUCGCUA